AUUCUUCUGCCUGUGUGUGCGCUGCGCGACCUGCGGCUACCGGCAGCUGCCGCGUUCGGCUCACCCAAGAGAAGAUGUCCCAGUUUCUUCGGAAACUCCGAAGUAUUCCGACAACGAACUGGAUCGUCGGAAUUCUCCUAGCCUUGGGGUCCACAGCCUACAUCUACAGUCCCGUCGUAGCGGAGAUUCGAGCGCAACAGCUUCGGAAAAAGCAAUCUGCGGACUCAGAGCGAACAGAAGAUAGCUAGAGUCGCUGCAUCGAAUUCUACGAGCCUCGGAAAUCCCCCGAGUCGCUUUUUGCGGAUCGAAUUCCAGAUCUACGGAUCGGGCAGACGCGACGUCGGAAUGAUCUUGAGAUGACGGACUCUUUAGAAUAAACAGACUGGUAAUCGAACUUGUAAUAGA